ACAAUGUUUUUUCUGCGUUGUCUAUUUACUAUUUUGUAGUAGUGCACCCUCAAAACCUACUGUCAGAUGAUCCUCGAAAUAGGGAACCCAGUCAAAAUCACGAGUGGCGCUAGCCAAAGAAAAAGAGACUGUCGAGGAGUUGUCCGCUAGGAAACAACCCUUGAUGAUGACCAAGAACAAUCGCCAAAGAAUACGAUCUCUAACCCUCUGAUCAUCAGGUAGAGGCUCAGUCAAAUCUCCACUCGUGGCAUCCACACUCAAGAGCCUUGAGCGGUCGGUCUGACCCUUGAGGGUCAUGGCA
rnacentral:lncRNA from 1 species